rnacentral:rRNA from 1 species
GUGCCAGCAGCCGCGGUAAUACGAAGGGGGCUAGCGUUGUUCGGAUUUACUGGGCGUAAAGCGCACGUAGGCGGACUAAUAAGUCAGGGGUGAAAUCCCGGGGCUCAACCCCGGAACUGCCUUUGAUACUGUUAGUCUUGAGUAUGGAAGAGGUGAGUGGAAUUCCGAGUGUAGAGGUGAAAUUCGUAGAUAUUCGGAGAAACACCAGUGGCGAAGGCGGCUCACUGGUCCAUUACUGACGCUGAGGUGCGAAAGCUGGGGGAGAAAACAGGAUUAGAUCCCCGGGUAGUCCACGCCGUAAACGAUGAAUGUUAGCCGUCGGGGUGUUUACACUUCGGUGGCGCAGCUAACGCAUUAAACAUUCCGCCUGGGGAGUACGGUCGCAAGAUUAAAACUUAAAUGAAUUGACGG